rnacentral:sRNA from 1 species
GAAAACAAGUUGCUACAGCCAACAACUGAAAAGCUGUCCAAGGGAGUCUUUACAGCCAAGCAUCUAAACUGCGAGAUCCAGUCCCAUAAAGCACCCCCUUCUUUUAAGAAGAACAAACAUCACCUGUAAGGAUUAUAUAGUAAAUGCGCCAGAAUGAUCAGAGAAUGUAUUUCAAUAAAGUAAAUAUUCAGAAUGAUUAGUUUUGUUUUCCUACUUGCAAUCCCAGAGGUUUCAAAGCAUUAGAUUUUUAUAACUACAUUGAAUAAGACUUUUCUCUGACAAUUUCACACACACACACACACACACACACACACACACACACACACACACACACACACACGCACACACACGAAACAACCAAAAAAACAAAAAACAAAUCUUGUAGUCCUCUGGGGUCAUGAUAAUAAACACUGAUUUCCACUCAUGCCUCUCUAAGGAAGCUAAGACCUAGGUGGGCCCUUAAAGAUAGUUCUACAGAAAAUGGAUAUUGGAUUCAUUGUAGUAACUCUAUAACAUAACCCAGGAGUUGGUUGUUUUUUAUUUUAAUAUGCUUUCAUACUUGUUAUUCAUGAAAACUGAGUAUAGAACAGACAAACAUAUAACCUUUUGGGCACAUUAAUGCAGUUGCCUCUCUAUGGAUUUAAUUUUGAAAUGGGGAGUGAAGAAAACCAUUGUCCCUGGUGUCACUGAGUCCUGUCACAUCACUUUAUCCUCUUAUCAACAUUUGCUUGCUCUUUUAUUACACUUUUAUUGAGCCUUGCUGAUUAGAUAGAAAGGAGUAUAUUAGAACUUAGAACUUAUUUUAAAGCCUCAUUCCAAGUGCCACAAUUUCUUUUGCUCCCCUAGAGAUUUCAAACAUCCGGCCCACCCCAGUUUUGUUUGCCAUGAGAUUUUACUUGAAACAAAAUUCUAGGCAUGGCCAUUUGCAAUGGCACCAUUGCUACUGUGAGAAACCUUUCUAGGGCCUACAUAAUGGGAAAAAAUCCUGAAGUCUCUCUCCCAUGAUAUUUCACACUCUAAACAAUGCUCUGCUUCCCAGACUAAAUUGAUGAGACAGGUCCAGUGGUAAGCAGGAAAUUGGUGACACCAUCACUGGACACUGCCACGAUCAGUAAGAGGAGCACAGCAACUGAUCUAGCUAAGUAGCUUGCCCUUAGGUAUACAACAGGGAAGAAACCAAGGAAAGGAAGGAUGAGUUCAACCAUGAAUUCUUUGAGAAUUAAAUGUAGUUUCAAAUGUUCGUGCAUGCGCAUGCUAUUUUCUAAUUCUGAAAGUUGACAUUUUAUAAAGCUGCCAUCUUAGUAAAUAACAAAAGCCAAUGUGUUAUCUUAAAGAACAUCAAACACUUUUGAAAUAAAACACUAAGUGCUAGGCAAAAAGAGGAACAAGAAGAUGGCCAUGAAAAGUGAUGGCCAUAAUAUCAACAAUUCUGGCAGUUCUUUACUUUCUGUGUGAGCAUGUAACCUUUUCCCACCUUUGGAUGGGAUUACCAAAUUAGAUUAUCAAAAUCUCAUAAAGUGGGGGUGUUGUGAUAUACAUAUGUAAUCCUAGUACUCUCAAAGCAGACACAGGAUCAUAGGUGGCAAGUUAGCAUGUGUUAUACAGCAAAAUCCUGUCUCAUAAAACCAAGGGCUAGGAGUAAAGCUCAGAGGAAGAGUAAUGACUAGCAUAUGUAAAACUCUGGGUUUUAUUCUCUAUAUUAAGAUGACAGUGACAACAGUGACAACCAAACAUGACAACUGACAAACCAACGGCAGUGAACCACGACAAUGAAGAUGAUUACAAGCAAGUUCAUUAACUGAACAAGCGAAUAUUACUUCUACCAAGUAUGUAAGAGGAUGUAAAAUGUGUAUUUGUUAAACCAAGUUUAGUCAUUAUUAUGGGAAACUAUUUCAAAUGUAAAUGUGUUUUGUAUUCUAUCAGCUUAAGAUAAUUUGUUAGAUCUUAAGGUAACAGAAAACUCUGGCUGAUGUCUAAUUCAAUUAUUUCUAAGGAAAUGGUGAAGCAUCAGCAUAGGAUCUUGGGUUUAUACACACAUAUGCUUCCUAUUUGUACACGUACAUAUGCGUGUAUUAUGCCUCCAUGCAGUUAUGUGUGCUCACAUGCAUGUGGAUGCAUAUGUGAAGGUCAGAGGUUGAUAUUGGAUGUCUCCUUUAGUGUCUCUCCCUUUUAUUUACGGAAGUAGGGUCUCCUGCUGAACUUGCAGCUCAUAGGUACAGUGAGUCUAAUUAGCCAGCUUGCCCUGUGGCUCCCCGUCACCACCUCCAAAGCAUAGGGAAUACAGGCAAGGCGACAAGCCUACUUGGCUUUUAUAUUGGUGCUGGAGAUCCAAACUCUGGUCCUCAUGCUUAGGCAAUAUGCAUUUUAUCCACUGACCAUCUCCCUAGUUCUGCUUUUAUUUUCAGAAGUUACAGAAAGCUAUAUUUGAGUAUGUUAAAGGAUGUGUUCCUUUAGGCACUAAGAGAGGGAUAUGUGUGGAUACAGAAAGUUGUAGAGGGUUUACAAAAAGAAUUUUAUUUGUUUAGGUCAAAGCUGGCUCAAUUCUGGUGUGUGACUGAUAAAAUUUCUGACAAGAACUUUACAUUCAAGCAUACUGAUGAAAAACUAGCUUUGUUAUUUCUGUGUUUGGAGUCUUAGUCUGUUCUUACUACUUGGGAAUGGCUUGCUUUACCUUCGGGAAAAUCUUCCUAGGUAACAAAUAUUCUGCCUCCUUCCAGAAUUAUCUUCCACAGUCUCCUACUUUCUACUUCCACUGGCCUCACAUAUGGUAAGCAAGGCCUCUCCUUUGGGGUAUGUUCUCGUAUUCCUUGAUUCCUUAAGAAAGCAAAGUCUUCUUGCUCAGGAAGGAGCGAAGGGUCUUUUCGGUCACGUUGCUUCUCUGCUUCUAUGGGAAAUAUCUGUUACUUGGGUAGAACAGAGAAGUCAAGCAUUAUUCUUUUAAGAGAGGACUCAGCCUGUCUUUUUUUUCCCCCCGGAGCUGGGGACCGAACCCAGGGCCUUGCACUUGCUAGGCAAGCGCUCUACCACUGAGCUAAAUCCCUAACACCACAUUAUUCUUUUAAUAGCCCAUCAUCCCAUCUUAACCAAGUUUCAGAGGACCCAUGGGGGAAAAAUCAUAAAGGAGGCACCUAUGACUGUCAGGUUUGUGUGGUGUCACUAUUGCUGUGUGACAGACGUAGAACUGUCAAGUCAGAAGUGAUGAUUGGCCUCUCGUAGGUUAUAGCAGUAAAAUGUUACCAAUAUAAAUAGUUCAGAAACUGUAUGCUGCAUGAGCUUGUCCAUGUCUCUACCAGCCAUGAUAUAUUUCUAUUUCCCAGGGGUCAGCUUACUGCUUUGUCAAACUUUAGACAACUAGAGGACUAUGUCCAUUACUCAUCAUGAGGACUACAUGCUAAGACCCCUGUGGAUUCCUAAAACUCUGUUAAGUCAAAAACACUUCUUUUCUCUGUAUGCAUAUAUAUUUUAAAUGACAUGCCUACCACAAUCACCACAUGUGCAGGCCAGAAGAAGGUGUCAGAUCCCCUGGAACUGGAAUUACAGAUAGUUAUGAGCUGCCAUGCGGAACCUACACCCUUUCAUAUUAGGACCAAGAAACACCCCUAGUCCUGACAGAACAAGUUAAAACAAGUUUGAAGCCACACUGGUGAAUACUGAACUAAGCUGAGAUUUUGAAAACUAGUUGAAAAGCAGAGAAAGAAGCAGGAAAGAAUUCCUACAGCGUUCCAAAGACAUUUCCUAAGAUGCACCUCAAUGUAUAUCCAAGGUCAGAGUCAACGGUGUCCACCUGUAAUGAUCUUGGCCCAAAGGAGUCCAGGAGGCUAAAACGCCAUAUAACUAACUCUCGGUGAGAGAAGCAGGAAGAUUAAGUCACACGAUUCUCCCGUGCUUAUUACUAAAGCAGAAAUGUUCAGCUCCUCAAUUUCGUGAGGUAAGUACUUUACUAACUGAGGCUAUCUUCCCAGCUCUCAAUUUUUACUUUACCUCAUCAUUUUAUUACAUUUAUUUAUUUGCUGUUGGGGGUGCAUGUGUGUGGAGUCAGAGGACAACUUGUGGGAGUCAGUUCUCUCCUCCUACGUGGGUCUCAGAGAUUGAACUCAGGUCGUCAGGCUUUACAGCAAGGGCUUUAAUGCACUGACCAUCUCACUAGCCAUCAAUUUUUAUCUUAAACUCAUUUAAUGAACUGAGAAACUCAGUGGCUUCGCUAUGAAUGCUGGAUGGAGGAAUUAAACAACAAUUUUGUUGUAAUUGACGGAAAUUGUGCCUGUUAACCUUUCUAGUUAGAGAAAACACAAAACGCGCUGGCGAAGCAGCAGCUGCCCCAGGCUCAAUGCAUAUGCAUUUGUAUUUCUGCACCUGGUCCUGGCACACAAGAUGAGUGUCUCAAGAGCCAAAGACUUUAUGUGCUUGCAUCCCCAACCUACGUAAGAGACCGAAUUAAAUUGGCUGGAGUUUCUAUUAGGUGUGGAUAGGAGGAAAUACCAUUGUGUUCCGUUAACUGAUCCCAACCUCUGCCGAGUCAAGGGAGAAAAAAAGCACUUGCUUUAAAAAUGCAAUGAAUGCUGUGGUUGAUGCAAAUUGAGGGUAAUCUCUGACAUACAAGAAAAACAUAUGGAAGCUCCUCAAAUAUCCUUUUGCUCAUAGGACUAUUCUCUUCCUCAAAGUUUGGUCAAGGAUCACCAAAGUUGUUCAAAACUUGGUUUAAAAAUAUGUAGGGUCUUUUAUAUCUAUGUUGAUUACAAUACUAGAUCUAAAUGGAACACAGAUCCCUUGUCCAAAAUGCUUGGAACAGAAGUGUUUCAGAUUUAGGAUGCUUUUCAGAUUUGAGGAUAUUUUAAAGACUACCAGUUAAGCAUUCCUAAUCCUAAAAAAAAAAAAAAAUCUCAAAUCCAAAAAUGUUCUGAAACCUGCACCUUCCCUUUUUGUUAUACUGGCUAUUGACUGGGUCUUUGUGCAUGCGAUGUAAAUACUCCGCCACUGACCGUAUAUUUCCUAAGACUAACCUAAAACUUAGGAAUGCUCGUUCUAUAAGUUUUCUGAGAAUAAAUAUGUAAAUUUCGGAAGGAUACUCAUAAUAUUUGACAUAAGUUCUACCUGUCAUCUUUCAUAUACAGAUAGUGGCAAUUUAGUUCCAUUUAAUCAUUAAAGAAUUUCCUUGCAUAGCCUCAUAUUAAAGAAAGGUAUCAUGCUAAAGACAGAAAGUCAGGGGCUUUGCCUGGUACUCAAACAAGGCUUGAAAUCUUUUUGGCUACUUCUAGAGAAUGAACCACUGGUCCCCAAAAGUAUAUCUCAGGAUUUCUCAGUCUCAGGCCUAAGAGUGGACAGUGUAUGCAAUAAACUCGAGGUAGAUGCUGAGGACUCCUUCUAUGUCCUGGGGUUGUAAACAACACAUGAUGGCCUGGAUCUUGCCUUGAAAUGUUUGCAGUUGAGCUGGAUGACAGUGCUUAUCUACAUAUAUGCACAUAUACACAUAUUUAAUAAGAAUUCAACUAUAUGGAAUGGUUGGCUUUCUUAGCCUCUUAGCAUCCGGUCCUAACCUGGGAACUCCGUUCUAAGGGUCUCUGUGGACUUGUGGUCUCAUGUAUUCUCAUUAGCUCCCACUGAAGGAAGGGAGGAAAAGGCUAUUCCUCUUCUACAAUUGAAAACCAAGAUGAUUUAUGCACCUUAGCACUUAAAGAAUUGGCCUAAGGCUGCAAAGCCUCAAGCCGUCCUGUACUCUUUCCCCUAUGUUCCCUGCUCACACAUUUUACACUGUGUGUUAGAACUUCUUACACAUGGGUCUGGCAAUGUGACUGUCCUUCUUAAAAGCCCCUCAGUAGGUCCUAUAGUAUGAAGCCUGUCAUAAUUUUGCGUAGGUCUACUUCUCAAGGGGGCCUCUGCUGUCACUAUUGCAAACUUUAACCACACCUACUCUUCUCUGCAUGGCUCUGAGUUUUUAUACAUACAUAGUCUCAGACUUGCAGAACAACUGCUAUAUUGUCUGAGAACCUCCAACUCAUUCUUUAAGACCUGGCUAUGCUGACAUCCUAGAAGUUCCACAUUCUUUUCUUAGGUAAAGGAAAUUGAUCUUCCUCCAUUUUUGAUACCUGGUUCAAGACCCUACUGGAGUAUCUACCACAGUACCUCUCAAACCUGAUUACGAGUGUUACUUCCUGUACCCAUCUCUGGUUCAGAGGAAGGACUGUGUCUACCUUCAUUACCUAGAACAGUACUUGGGCACUUGAUAGAUUCUGAGACAAAUGGGUCUUACUUUCAAAAAAUCUAUUAGAAUCUAAAUUAUUAGAAUUUGAAAAUGUUUUAUUUUGUUUUCUUUGAAUAAAGGAGAAAAAAGCCUCCAAAUGUACAAAUGUGGUCAACCAGGAGGAUGCUCAAACAGAUCAUUAAAAAAUGGACUGGUCGGUGUCCAAAUUAGGAAAUUUUAAGGAGCUAUGACUCACCGCUCAAAUGUCCACCUCCUACAACAAAUAAACAGAAACAAAGUGGGGAUUUACGUAGAAGCUUGCCCUGGGUCUAAAGCCAUGUCAUAAGCCCUUAACAGUUGUAGAAGAAUAGGACACAUUUAAUUCAAUAUGAGUUACAAAUAAAUUAUUCGUACCUGUGCUGUUUGGUAGUCACGCUUAAAAUUAAAGUGACUUGAAUAACCUGGGAACAUGUGGAUGCUACUCUGGUGAGUUUUAAUGUUGGAGCUGAAAAGGUGAUUCAUAAAUGUUAAACAACUCAGGCGGGUGGGUGUUAUGCUGGAAAGCCAGACUGGAGCGGCUUCCCUGCCCUGCAGCACAGCAUGAACCUCUGGACACCAUCACACAACAGCUUGUUGUGCAGUAUCAAGCUAGAUCUAUGAACUCAUCAGUUGCUUCAACUUAGCAGUGCUGCUUGAAACACACAAACAAGCUUUCAACUCAGAAGUACCACUUCCUGGUACAUUAGUGCCUGCCGCGACAGGCGUACUAGGUAUGUAUAAGAGGCGAGUGCUGUUAGUGACAUCGUCUUCCUGUGUUGAUGAUGAAGAUAUAAAAAAAUAAGGAGUACAAAUGCAGGUGUGCUGGAAUACACCUAUCCUUCCAGCACUAGGAAGCAGAAGCAGUAGGAACUUGAGUUAGAGCUCGACCACAGCUACAGAGCAAGUUCAAGGCUAGCCUAAACUACACCGUGAGGUCCGACCUCAAAAUCCAUAUGCCUGGGGCUGAAAAGAUGGCUCUAAUUCCUAGCACCCAUGUUGGGUAUCUCACAACCACAUGUAAUUCCAACUCCAGAGAUCUGACAUCUCUGGCUCCAGUGGGCAUGUGCACUCAUACCCACGCACAGACAUAAUACAUGCACAUACACAGUCAAAAAUAAAAACAAAUCUUUUUUUAAAAAGCAGUGAAUAAAAAUAUAACUAUUUCAGAAAAAAAUGUUUGAUGUGGGAUUCCAGCGUGCAAAAGAGCACAGACCAAGGGCUAGGGGUAUGGCUUAUUGUUCAGUCAGUAAAACCUUUGCUGUAGAAGGAGGAGGGCCUAAGUUUGGAUUGCCAGCACCUAUGGAAAGAGCUAGUUGCAAUACAGCCCAUGACUACAAUUCCAGCACUGAAGAGGCAGUGCUUGAUAGCUAGCAAGUCUAGCCAAUCACUGAGCUCCAGCUUCAGUGAGUGACCUCUCAAGCAAUAAGAUCUCAAAGUACACUGUAAAAAGAUACCUAAGAUUGACCUCCUGCCACCACUUCCAUGGUAGCAUAUUUGUACACAUGUAUGAACAGACAUAUACACAAAACAGGAAAGGAAACAUCAUCGGUGUUGUACCUAAAGUAGGAAGGCAGGCGAGAAGUCAGUGGGGGUCCAGAACCCUAUUUAUUUAACCAUCUCUUACUUUCUACAAGUGCUUCGGAGGCACCUUCAAAGAAUGCUGGUAAUGGAUGCUGUGGGAAAGGGUUUGAUUUAUGGGACAGAGUAGAACAGGUGACCUGAAGCUAUAUUUGACUCUGAAAUAUGACCAUCCUCAAUCCUCGUGACCAAUCUGAAAAUCAGGAUUUUAUUCUACCCAUAGAAGGAUUAGGAUUUUUUUUGUUUUUUUUAAUUAUGUACAAUUUGAUGGCUUGAAACAUAUAUACAUUGUGAUAUAAUCACCAAAAUUAAUUUAAAUAACAGACCUAUCAUUUGAAGUGAUUAUUUUGUGUGAGAACAAUUAAGAUGUGCUCUAAGAAAAUGUAGAUACAAUGAAUUAAUAAUUGUAGUCAAUGUGCUACCCAUUAGAUCUCGGCACUUCACCUUGGAGAAACUAUAGCUUCUUGUCCCUUAACCAACACCUCCCUGAUCCCUUGGUAAGCCACAUUCUACUUUCCAUUUCUGUUAGGUUGACUUGGAGUCUAAGCAUCUUUUCGUGCAGUGGGCAUUGAGCUCGGGGCCUCAGGACACUAUCGGACUGCGGUUGUUGAACCUUCUGUAAAUUUCCAUGGUUGUUGUCAGGUCAGAAUAAAGCCACUUGCCUAGCUGUAGCCGUGGCGUUGAAGAGCUCCCGCACCCAAGCAUGUAGCUGUUACUGCUCAAGGCUGUCCUUAAUAAGGUGCACUCAUAUUUUCAAACAAGGUACAUUUUUUUCCAUUUACUUCCAGUAGCAGCUGAUCAAACCUCUUAAGCCGUUCUGGGAAUGUGGUAUUGGUACUCCUAUUGUUGCUUCAUUAAAUGAUGCCAUUUGUGCCAUUAUGGGUAAUUUCUGUUUGAGAGCAGAGAUGGCUGCGAGGAGUUCAGCAGCAGGGGAGAACUCAACUGAUUGGUCAGGGGUGAGGUGCACUAGAGAGGGAAGUAAGAUGGCUUUCUCAGAAAUUAGCAUUGGCCAAUUUUCACUGUUAUUUUCUCUUAAAAAAUCCUUUGCCCUUCUAAUUCUAAUGUGUAAUACCUUGCUCUCUCCUCUCGAGAUAGCACUCAGAGUCCUGUUUUUAUGCUUUGUCCUACAUGCAAAUCUGCAAAGCUCAUAUGGUACCACACAAAACACAGAAAACAAAAUUCACUGAAAUCCCUGUUAGCUUAUGUGAACAUAUAGACUAGUUAUUAUAAAACACCUACCUUUUACAAGUAGCAAUACCAAGGUAUGUGUUUCUGAAGAAUCAUGGGAUAACUGAUGACAUCAAUCAAAUUAAUUCAUCUGAGAUGUUAAUUUAAGGUACUCGGUAGGGGAAUCCAGUCAUGGAGGAGGGUCCCCUCUAUAAAGUGAAUGCUUUUGACCAUAAUUUUAUAUUUAUCACUUGGCAAGUAGCAUGCCAGUAUUUUUUUAAUUUCCAGACUUUUCUUAAAUAGAAAUACACCUAUAUUGAUUUUUAAGACAAAAUCACUAUUGGAACAGGCUUGCUUUUGUUUCCUAUUUGCAGGGUAUAAAGGAAGGGGACUCAGUGUUGUAUAUAUUGAAAUGUUUCUUAUUAAUUUUCAUUCAAUAUUCUUUCUGUCCCCCAACUCCUUCCUGAUCCUCCUCACCUCCUACCCAUACACCUUCAUGUUCUUAACCUGGUGAAUGAGUAUGUUAACCUUCUCUCUUAAAACAGCUAUGCCGGAUAAGCCUUGCACUCUUACUGUUUUUGUUCUAUACACAGAUAAUGAUUACUGCUUUGUGCAUAAUAAAUAUUUUUCACAAGGUAAGGCAUGUAACAGCCAUAAAAACAAAACCAAACAAUAAUCUGAAAAUCAAAAUAACCAACCCAGUAAGACAAAAACAUACCCCCCCCAAUGCAGGUAUAUACACAAAAGAACCAGAGUCCAUUUUGGGUUGGCCUGGAAUGUGGUUGAUAUGCCUAAUGACACUCCAUCAGAGAAAACUGGUUUUCAGCUCCCAGAAGAUAUCGACUGCACAUAGCUUCUUGGCUCACUUUUCCUUUGCAGUGCUGGUUAAAACCUGUGCAGGUCUUGUGUGUGCUGUCACCCCUUUAAUCCCAGCACUCAGGAGGCAGAGGCAAGAGAAUUUCUGUGAGUUUGAGGCUAGCCUGGUCUACAGAGUAAGUUCCAGGACAGUGAGGACCACAAGGUGAGAGCCUGUCUCCCCUGCUGCCCUCCAAGGAUCUAAGAAGAGUGAAUGUAUCCCUGUAAGGUAGGACUGGUUAACAUAUCAUUUGCUCCCAACGUUUCCAUGUCUCAUGUCCGAACCUGCCUAUGCUAGAUUCUGUGCACUCUUCCCUACCCUCUUCCUUACCCUCCCUCUCUCCUACUCCUUCAGCCCCAUUCACAAGGCUGUCAAGUGCACUGUACUUGUGAGAACUGACUCAAUGGCUUUUACAGAUCAACGUUUAGUAUUUACAACUGAUUGUUUCCUCUCCCAAAGGCAAACGAAAAACCAGAACUCCUUCUUUAACUUCAUUUCACAGUUAUGUCCAGCAAGCUUUAGAAAUGUACACGUUCUAUAAAUGUAAGAUAGAAACUGGAAUAGGAACCAAGAACCCGAGUCUCUUUGCUUUAGUUUCUACCACAACAUCCCUAAUCUAAGCUACUGCCUUCAACAGGAAUGUUAGCACAAUAUAUUUAAAAUGCAUUUAUAAAAGUAAAAAGUAUUACCUAUUCUAAUUAUAUACUUCAGAGUUUUCUUUCAAUGAGACCCAAAUUCUGAUUUAAUAUAGCUAAAUAAAUCAGUUCUAUGCACACCUGCUUCUCUCCACACAAAAUAUGCAUGUACACAAAACACAGGCACCUGAUUAUGGGAAAUCAGAAAUUAGGCCCACAUAAUGGAUUUUCUUUUAACCACCCACUCGACAUUUAUAGUCCACUUUAAGGGCUCCAUGCCUAGAAUUGGCAGCUCUAGGAACAGUGAGAUCAGUUUGUCUACAGUUGUUCCCAACCUUUUUUGGCUCUGGUACACCUACACUUGCUUCCAAAAAUAUACCCCACAGUCUGGUGCUCAAUGGAAUGAAAAUCUUCCCUGAGCUAAUAGAAUAUAAAACAGAGGAGGGAACAGACACAGCUCUGUAUUUCCGGGUACUCGUACAACACAGUGAAGCAAAGCAGCGGAAAGGACAUGGUUGGCCCAGCACCUGGAGAAAAGGGCCUUUCAGCUGUCCCCACACUGUUUUAGGAUACGGUUACAUACAUGUACUAAUCUCCAUCUACCAGCCUAGUCUUCAUUCAGACCAAGGAUAUGGUUUUGAAGAGAUGGCCAGAUUUUAAAAAAAAAAAAGUAAAUAAAUUAAAAAGGAAAAAGAAAGAAAAAGAAAAAAAAAGAAAAAAAAGGUAUGGCCAAUGGUACCAUUUGAGCAUAUGAAAACCAAUGGGAUUACACAAGGUCAAAAAUCAUGCUUUGGGCCUUACUUGCAAUAUAUUGUAACUGCCUGAGUUAACUAGCUACAGAUAAUGCCUGGAAGGAAACCAAUUUUUAAUCAGAAACAAAAAUGCAACUGAGGACAUAAUACAGAUAAAUCGUUCGGUCUCAGUGACCUGCCUUUAAUAUUGAGCCAAGUUGUGACCAGUAAGAGGCAAAGACCCUUUACUUCUCUGGGCAUUCAGAACUGUCCAUAAUUUAUAUCAUUGCUCUCAAUCAUCUUAUUUCUUGGGAGUUGAAUCCCAACAGUUUAUUUCAUAAUUCAUGUAAUUAGCAUGAAUUUCUCAGAAUGUUUUUACUAAAUUUUGAUAUUGCUUAUCAUAAAAUUUCUUUGCUUUUGAGAGCAAACAGAAGUCUUUGAAGUUAAUUGCUAUUACCUUCUUUACGAAUAUAAAUAUAUCUUGUAGUAAAUUACUGCAGGGGAGUCCUGGUCAGGAUAUUAAUAAUAAGCAUUUAGCAACCUCCAUGAGAUUGCUUAGAUCAGUACAGCCUCAGCCUUCCUAAUGCUCCAACCCUUUAACAAGUUUCUCAGGGUGUGCUGACCCCUAACCAUAACAUUAUUUUUAUUGCCCCUUCAUAGCUGUCAUUUUGAUACUGCUAUAAAUUAUACUGUAAAUAUUCGGUAUACAGGAUAUCUGAUAUGUAACCCUGUGAAAGGGAUCGUUUCACUCCAGAAGGGUUGCCACUCAGGUUGAGAACCGCUGCCUUAGAUAAAACCAUCACAAUCUCGUACCAAGAAGAUGAUGGAUAAAGCCAUGUGUUGUCCCACAGCAUUCCUUCCUGUAAUAUUCUGCUCUAACCUGUCUGUAAUACAUCCUAUAUUAUUAGUAGAUAAAAUGUGGUUUUGUGGGGAGCUGGAGAGAUGGCUCAGAAUUUAAGAGCACUGGCUGCUCUUCCAGAGGACUCAGUUUCAAUUUUUAGUGGCUCACACCAGUCUGUAACUCUAGUCCUGGAGGCGGAUGGAGAGCGGAAGGAGAUGAUCUGUCGCCCUCUUCUGGUCCUGCAGGUACUGCAUGCACAUGGUGCAUAGAUGCAUGUAGCCAAAAUAUGCAUACACAUAAAAAUUAAAACCCUUAAUUUUGUAAAUUAAAAUUUAGAUUUUAUUAUUGCCAUGCUACUAAAGUGUAUCAGACAAGGCCAGUUUUAAAUUCCUCUUAAUUUAUGCCUUACUUUGAUUUUCCUCUAAUUUCUUGAACAAUUUAAAGAGCCAUAUCCCUUAAUUCUAAGAAGGCACAAAAAAUAAAGGUUUUUAAGAUUCUAACAAAGGAGAGUUAGGGAAUAAAUGUAGCUUACUGGCAUCCCAAGUAAGUUAGUAGUAUCAAUCUUAUAAGAAUUUGUGUGCAUAAUUAGAUUAAAAUUUGAGGACAUGGGGGGUGACUUUUACUUGGUGGCAAUGACUGUUGCUCUGUGAGCCACCACAGAGUUCUGGGUUCUUCUUCUAUUUAAACAGAAAUUAGAAAUGAGAAUUCUUACUAUUUCAGACAUUAGAAAAAGUAGAAAGUCAAAGGUCAAUCGGUUACAGAAACAGACUUUGAAUCUGUAUCUACAAUCCCCACUUAAGUUUCCUGAGACAAGGCGAUGACAGCAUGAGUUUGCUGACUGUGGAGAAGUAAAAGGCUUUCUCCAGAGUGAACACUGGAGUUAAGAGAUCACAAAUGGAAGGCUAUUCCCCCCUCUAGCAACGAGCAGCUCCAGGAACUGUUUGAAAUUAAUGUUAAAAUAGAUGCUGGAGGAAAAAUUAAACUAAAGAAAAAGAGGUGCUAAGAACAAAAAAGAUUUGGAUGUCUCUGGCUCCUUGAAAAGAUUCCAUUAAAGAGAUUAGAAAUAGGUAAAAUCAACUGAACCAUUUACCAUAUGAGCAGGGCUUUUGGAAACUGAAAAUCAUGAAAAACAAAGAAAGGUUGAGAAGCUUCCAAAGCCAAGAGGAGCCUGGGCAGACAUAAUGACUAAAUGUAUGGCAGCCUGGUUGGGAUCCUAAUACAGAAAGAAAAAGAAGCCAAAGGAACUUAGCUGAUAUCUGAACAGACUGUGGUGUGCACAGAAGAACUGGGCAUCAGUCUUGGCUUCUUAGCUGUCCCAAGCACCACGCUCAUGGGAGAUACCGAAGGCAGAGGAAACUAUGUGGGGUAGAGGAACUGUACGAGCUGCCCCUUUUUAAAUACUUUCACAUUUUUUCUAGUAAGUAAAGUUUACUAGACAAUGCUAUUUUUAAGUCAUUUUAAAUUAUUCCAUUCAUGAGAAAUCCCUCAAACUGAGGGUUCAACUCAGAGGCCUAGAUUAAGGGCAGUAAAAGACUUCAACCAUGAGAUGACAACAGGUCAAGGAGUCCACAUUCCUCAGGAAUCCAGCACAGAUAGCUCCAAAUCCAGAACCGAGAUCCCAUCAAAGAGUAUCAGUCGGGUCAAUGAUUAUGAAGACAAUAAAGCCCUCUGCUAAACUUUGCUCAUCCCAAACAACUUAAAGUACAUUGUAGAUGGCGGGCUUCUCCAGUAAUGCAAUCUCCGCGUGCAGAAGUAAAGCUAAUGAUUUCCAUGGAAUCAAACAAGCUCAGGAAGUAGGGCCUUUAUCAGCUGUCACUGCUCCAGGAAGUGGAGUGUGGGGGGAAGGGGAGAGGUACACAGGUCAGGCCAGGCAACCACCCAAUUUACCCUGGGGUCUGAACUAUCAUUUACAAAAGUAAAGCAACAAACUCCAUGACUCUUGCUCUUCUUGCCUAACGAUUCUUUAAGAACAAAGUACCAUGCAUAUAAUAUUUACUAGUAGUUUAUGAACUCUGAAGGAUGAUUUCUCAAGGGAAAUCAUCUGACCACAGUUCGUUAGUAAAACAGAUUUCAAGGUGACAGACAAUAUGUGGAUUCUAAACAGUCAUCCUUCCAUUCAAAUCACGGAUAUUUAUUAAAGACACACGAAAGAAAUCAGUUCAGGAGAACACUGUGAACUGAUGAAAGAGUGUAGAUGACAAUUGUAUUAAUAAAUAGAAAAGUGAAUGACGGUAAGAGCAUCUCACUACGAGAACUUUUUCCUUAACCUUGUGCUCCCUCUAGUGGUCUCUUUCUUAAAAUGCAGUGCUUAUGUAACCGUUCAGUCACUCAUGUUUGAUAAGCUCAACUACACUGUAAAGGCUUAUCUAACUCUGGAAUUACACUAAUCUCUCUUCCCUCCCCCCUCCAUACUCUCUCUAUGUUCUGAUAAUUUCAUUCAAUCUGUUAAGAGAUUACUAUUGAUUCAACCAACACAUAUCCAGAGCCUACCUUAAUAAGGCAUUAAAUAAUCUUUGCAGCUUAAUUACUUUCUAUUUUCUAAACAUUGACAAUGAUUCAAUCAGUAACAUCAUAAGGAACACUCACCCCAAGGGCUAGAAAUCAGUAUUUCCCACUUUUGUCUUUCUGCCACCUCUUCCAACUUUCCCACCCAUGUGUCCCUCCAAACCUUCUUAGUGAAGACUUGCUAUACGCUGGCUGUUGUUCCAAGCAGUGAAGCUACAGAUAUAAACAAGGAGGCCCCGAUGAAAAUGUGGUAUGCAACGACCCAAAGGGAGUGAGGUGGCAUUCUUUGGGCCAGGAAGAAACAGUAGGGGUGAACAGAAGGAUCCAGUGAAGGAAGAGAUUAAUAGUUUGCCAAGGGAGAGGAUACACGAGUAUUUGCCACAGCAUGGACUUUUCUGGGUUUAUUCUACAUGAAACAGGGAAGCAACCAACGCAGCAUCAGAAGCAAACUGUGAAAGGAUCUAAUUUAUGUUGGGAAAGGGUCAUUGUGGCUGAUGCAUAGGGAACAGACCGAAGGGACAAGGCUAGAAGCAAGAACACUACCUGGGCAGCUGCUGCAAUACACCGAGAGAAAUAUUAGUAGCUUGCACAGGGCGGAAGAAUAAAGACAUGACUGACUUUAAACAUCUGAAGACACAAUUACUUUCUGUUUAAAAAAUAUCUAAGAGAUCCAAUGUGAAUCAUGAACAGAAAGAGUCAAGAAUGACCGCAACAUGUUUGGCUUUGUUGGUCUCAAGAACGACACACACACACACACACACACACACACACACACACACACAC